AAUUCAAAUGACUCACAACAUUUUUAAGCAACAGGCAAUGCAGAGCAUUGUAGAAGUCUGAAUGCCAAGUUCAUAUUUAUAACCUAUUCAGCUUUGAAUAUAUUCACUUAGCUUGAAAGGGACUGGAGGUGUGAAGUUAGACAUCAGGGCUUUGCAGAGUCCCUUGGAAGUGUUGGCACCAUUUUCUUUUUCCCUUCAGCCUCUGCCAAAGAACCUGGAUUCCAGGACAUGACCUUCUGCCUUUGAUGUAGCUGCUGAUGCUCACCCUAGUAAUCACUCUCCCCUAAGCCACUGCCCUUUGAUGUUUCACUGAACCCCAAUAACACGUUCUUUUAAGCCACUGGUUGUUUUAUUUUAUAUUAUAUAGAAAUUGAUCAAGUCUGUUCACAUCUCAGAUGGUUUCUUACCAUAUCCAGGAAUGAAUAUUCAUUCUCUCCUCCCAAGAAAUCAGCAGAGAUAAAAUAGGCCUGACAUGUUUUAGUAUGGAAAUUAAUUUGAUGGCUGAAACCCAGGAGUACUGGGGAAACUGGGCCUUCUAGAUCUUCAGGGUUUGGUUAAGAUGGAUCCAUGUGACUGUCUAGCAACAAAUACAUGAGAUAGAUUAUAGAUAAAAAUAGGCAGAUGUAUAAAGGUAGAUAAGUGUCUGUUCUUCAACUAUCUAAAGCAGAAUACUCAAAGUAAGUAAAAUCUUGGCCAGAACCAUAGUAUAUAUAACAGGUAGGGCAUUUGCCUUCCAUGUGGCCAAUCCAGGUUCAAUCCCUGGCACCCCAUACGAUCCCAUGAGCACUGUUAGGAGUGAUCCCUGUGCACAGAGCCAGGAAUACAAAAGCACUGAGCACCACAGGUGUGGCCCUAAAACAAAACAACAAGGGGCCGGUGAGGUGGCACUAGAGUAGGGCAUUUGCCUUGCAUGUGGCUCACCCAGGAUGGACCACGGUUUGAUUCCUCAGUGUCCCCC